GGGCGAUUACCACGGCAGGGUUCGUGACUGGGGUGAAGUCGUAACAAGGUAGCCGUAUCGGAAGGUGCGGCUGGAUCACCUCCUUU
rnacentral:rRNA from 1 species